CGUAACAAGGUCUCCGUAGGUGAACCUGCGGAGGGAUCAUUACAAGAACGCCCGGGCUUCGGCCUGGUUAUUCAUAACCCUUUGUUGUCCGACUCUGUUGCCUCCGGGGCGACCCUGCCUUCGGGCGGGGGCUCCGGGUGGACACUUCAAACUCUUGCGUAACUUUGCAGUCUGAGUAAACUUAAUUAAUAAAUUAAAACUUUUAACAACGGAUCUCUUGGUUCUGGCAUCGAUGAAGAACGCAGCGAAAUGCGAUAAGUAAUGUGAAUUGCAGAAUUCAGUGAAUCAUCGAAUCUUUGAACGCACAUUGCGCCCCCUGGUAUUCCGGGGGGCAUGCCUGUUCGAGCGUCAUUUCACCACUCAAGCCUCGCUUGGUAUUGGGCAACGCGGUCCGCCGCGUGCCUCAAAUCGUCCGGCUGGGUCUUCUGUCCCCUAAGCGUUGUGGAAACUAUUCGCUAAAGGGUGUUCGGGAGGCUACGCCGUAAAACAACCCCAUUUCUAAGGUUGACCUCGGAUCAGGUAGGGAUACCCGCUGAACUUAAGCAUAUC
rnacentral:misc_RNA from 1 species